ACCAGCGGUACAAGCGGUGCAGGAGCCUCGAGGAGGCCGUACUGACCGCACCGCCGCACAUGACCAUUGACGAUUGGCGGAUACUCUGUGAGAGAUUUUUGUCUAAGUCUUUUUAGAUAAUAUUUAUAUAUUUACGAUAUCUUAAGGUAACAAUUAAAUUCGCAAUUAAUAAUAAUGUAUUAUGAAUAAUGUGUUCAGAAGAGGAGCAAAAUAAAUUCUGCGAACAGGGAAAAGUUGGAAGUGAACCACAUAGCUGGUUCAAAGUCAUUUGUACAACUUCGUCACGACAUGCGAGAUUCCGUCACUGGACAGGAGCCCGGACCAGUAGACUUCUACAGAGAGACUCAUUGUCGGCAGGCGACGGGAUCUUGGGUAUAUCCUACAGCCAGUGAGAAUUGGGCGGCGAUGGACGCCAUACGCAGUCAGCCCACUCCCGAUUGUACUCAGCGGAGUGAGCCAGAGAUCCUGAGCGAGGUGCUUGGCACCCGUUCUAGAUAUGUGUGUGAGCUUGGCCAUGGUGCCAAG